rnacentral:rRNA from 1 species
GACGAACGCUGGCGGCGUGCUUAACACAUGCAAGUCGAACGGAAAGGCCCUGCUUUUGUGGGGUGCUCGAGUGGCGAACGGGUGAGUAACACGUGAGUAACCUGCCCUUGACUUUGGGAUAACUUCAGGAAACUGGGGCUAAUACCGGAUAGGAGCUCCUGCUGCAUGGUGGGGGUUGGAAAGUUUCGGCGGUUGGGGAUGGACUCGCGGCUUAUCAGCUGGUUGGUGGGGUAGUGGCUUACCAAGGCUUUGACGGGUAGCCGGCCUGAGAGGGUGACCGGCCACCUUGGGCCUGCGGUACGGCCCAGUCUCCUACCGGCGGCAGCAGUGGGGAGUAUUACACAAUGGGCCGAAGCCUGAUGCAGCAACGCCGCGUGCGGGAUGACGGCCUUCGGGUUGUAAACCGCUUUCGCCUGUGACGAAGCGUGAGUGACGGUACUGGGUCAAGAAGCACCGGCUAACUACGUG